rnacentral:tRNA from 1 species
CGAAGUCGUAGUUUAACUAAAAUUUUAGCAUUGGAAGCUAAAGAUCAGGUAUAUAAUCCUGCGCUUCGA